GGUGAAAUCGAGGUUGACCCCGCCCAAAAUGUGACCCCACCCCCCUCCAGGUGUGUGGCCCCACCUCCCCCCAGGUGUGCGGGGUCAAUGUCCACCUCAACGGCUUCUGCGUCCAGCUGGACUCCGCCCUGCGGCCGGUCCGGAGCCUCCCGGAGAAAUUCCCAGAGUGUCCGAAGCUCUCGCUGGACAUCGCCUUCCUGGUGGACGGCUCGGGCAGCAUCG
rnacentral:lncRNA from 1 species